CUAACCCAAUUUUAACCCAUUUUAUUUUUCUUGCGCCAGGUUCCUUCUCUGCUGCUCUCAACCCCUUCCUUUUCCUUGCUACUCUAUUCGACCGAGAGCCCUAAAAGGCUCGAUCCAACGCCGCUCUUGGCCGUAAAUCGGCCACGGUUUGGUCCUAGUCUUCCUCUUUUCCUCUCCGAAGACAAGAUUCAAACGGUGGAAUCCACACCUUAAGCAACUAAACCAACAUGCAAACCGUCGUUCAUCGGCGACGAUAACCUCACCCAAGCGUGGUAGAUUCCUAUGAGGGAACCCGAACGUCUCAGAUUAAUCAUGAGGUUCAAGAAAGUAAGAAUCAUCUUCAGCACUCCAUGAGCUUAAAGAAAAGUUCAUCUUCUUCAAAAGGUGUAGUGUGAAGCUAUCUUAGAUAUAUGGAGAGUUUAAACUUUGAAAGCUUCUCUAAGCCAUUUCUAGUUGGUUUUGACGUUCUAAAUUUGAAGCUUUACUUCCUCUAAAAUCAUAUUUGAUGUAUGAAUCCUUAUUAAGUUUCUUUGAAUAGCAAAAGAAUUUAGUGAGA